CGCUGCUGAUCCGGGAGCGGCGGGGGGAGCCGUGCCGGAGCAAGCUGCUGCGCAGGACCGUCAGCGUGCCCGUGGAGGGCCGCCCGCACCCCGAGCACGUGCCACCACUGCUGCCAUGCUCUGCCGCUGUCACCGCUGCCGCCACCAUCCGGUGCCACCAGUGCCACCAGUGCCAUUGUCACCGCUGUUCCCAGUGCCAUUGUCACCGCUGCCCGCCACCAUCCGGUGCCACCAGUGCCACCGGUGCCAUUGUCACCGCUGCCACCAUCCGCUGCCAUAAAUGUCACCUGUGCCACCAU